CAGCAGCCACGGUAAUACGAAGGGGGCUAGCGUUGUUCGGAUUUACUGGGCGUAAAGCGCACGUAGGCGGACUUUUAAGUCAGGGGUGAAAUCCCGGGGCUCAACCCCGGAACUGCCUUUGAUACUGGAAGUCUUGAGUAUGGUAGAGGUGAGUGGAAUUCCGAGUGUAGAGGUGAAAUUCGUAGAUAUUCGGAGGAACACCAGUGGCGAAGGCGGCUCACUGGACCAUUACUGACGCUGAGGUGCGAAAGCGUGGGGAGCAAACAGGAUUAGAUACCCCGGUAGUCCCUGUCUCUUAUAC
rnacentral:rRNA from 1 species